AAGGAGGAGCUUGCUCUUCUGGAUGAGUUGCGAACGGGUGAGUAACGCGUAGGUAACCUGCCUGGUAGCGGGGGAUAACUAUUGGAAACGAUAGCUAAUACCGCAUAAGAGUAGAUGUUGCAUGACAUUUGCUUAAAAGGUGCAAUUGCAUCACUACCAGAUGGACCUGCGUUGUAUUAGCUAGUUGGUGGGGUAACGGCUCACCAAGGCGACGAUACAUAGCCGACCUGAGAGGGUGAUCGGCCACACUGGGACUGAGACACGGCCCAGACUCCUACGGGAGGCAGCAGUAGGGAAUCUUCGGCAAUGGACGGAAGUCUGACCGAGCAACGCCGCGUGAGUGAAGAAGGUUUUCGGAUCGUAAAGCUCUGUUGUAAGAGAAGAACGAGUGUGAGAGUGGAAAGUUCACACUGUGACGGUAUCUUACCAGAAAGGGACGGCUAACUACGUGCCAGCAGCCGCGGUAAUACGUAGGUCCCGAGCGUUGUCCGGAUUUAUUGGGCGUAAAGCGAGCGCAGGCGGUUAGAUAAGUCUGAAGUUAAAGGCUGUGGCUUAACCAUAGUACGCUUUGGAAACUGUUUAACUUGAGUGCAAGAGGGGAGAGUGGAAUUCCAUGUGUAGCGGUGAAAUGCGUAGAUAUAUGGAGGAACACCGGUGGCGAAAGCGGCUCUCUGGCUUGUAACUGACGCUGAGGCUCGA
rnacentral:rRNA from 1 species